rnacentral:pre_miRNA from 1 species
AGAUUGUGGUAUUGCGUAGGUAUUGUGCACAGUAAUUAUAUAGACUGUGUAUUCUACCUAGGCAUUAUCAUAGUCU